rnacentral:rRNA from 1 species
AUACGGAGGAUCCAAGCGUUAUCCGGAUUUAUUGGGUUUAAAGGGUGCGCAGGCGGAAGAUUAAGUCGGCGGUGAAAUUUUGCAGCUCAACUGUAAAAGUGCCAUCGAUACUGGCUUUCUUGAGUGUGGAUGAAGUAGGCGGAAUUUGUGGUGUAGCGGUGAAAUGCAUAGAUAUCACGAGGAACUCCGAUUGCGCAGGCAGCUUACUAAGCCAUAACUGACGCUCAGGCACGAAGGCGUGGGGAUCAAACAGGAUUAGAUACCCUGGUAGUCCACGCAGUAAACGAUGAUUACUAGCUGUUUGCGAUAUAGUGUAAGUGGCAAAGCGAAAGCGUUAAGUAAUCCACCUGGGGAGUACGCCGGCAACGGUGAA